rnacentral:rRNA from 1 species
CACGUAGGGGGCGAGCGUUGUCCGGAUUUACUGGGCGUAAAGGGCGCGUAGGCGGCUCGCUAAGUCGGAUGUGAAAACUCUGGGCUCAACCCAGAGCCUGCAUCCGAAACUGGUGGGCUAGGGUGCUGGAGGGGAAAGCGGAAUUCCUGGUGUAGCGGUGAAAUGCGUAGAUAUCAGGAGGAACACCGGUGGCGAAGGCGGUUUUCUGGACAGUAACCGACGCUGAGGCGCGAAAGCUAGGGGAGCAAACAGG